GACGAACGCUGGCGGCGUGCUUAACACAUGCAAGUCGAACGGAAAGGCCCGGCGUUUGUGGGGUGCUCGAGUGGCGAACGGGAGAGUAACACGUGAGUAACCUGCCCUUGACUUUGGGAUAACUUCAGGAAACUGGGGCUAAUACCGGAUAGGAGCUCCUGCUGCAUGGAGGGGGUUGGACAGUUUCGGAGGUGGGGGAUGGACUCGCGCCUUAUCAGCUUGUUGGUGUGGUAAUGGCUUACCACGGCCUUGACGGGUAGCCGGCCUGAGGGGGUGACCGGCCACAUUGGGACUGGGAUACGGCCCAGACUCCUACGGGCGGCAGCAGUGGGGAACACUGCACAAUGGGCGGAACCCUGAUGCAGCAACGCCGCGUGCGGGAUGACGGCCUUCGGGUUGUAAACCGCUUUCGCCGGUGACGAAGCGUGAGUGACGGUAAUGGGUAAAGAAGCACCGGCUAACUACGUG
rnacentral:rRNA from 1 species